ACUCAAUAGAUACCCCGGUAGUCCACGCCGUAAACGAUGAGUGCUAGACGUUGGAGAGCUUGCUCUUCAGUGUCGUAGCUAACGCGAUAAGCACUCCGCCUGGGGAGUACGGCCGCAAGGUUAAGACUCAAAGGAAUUGACGGGGGCCCGCACAAGCGGUGGAGCAUGUGGUUUAAUUCGAUGCAACGCGCAGAACCUUACCAGCUCUUGACAUGCUAGGUUCCGGACUUGAGAGAUCAGGUCCUUCAGUUCGGCUGGGCCUAGUACAGGUGCUGCAUGGCUGUCGUCAGCUCGUGUCGUGAGAUGUUGGGUUAAGUCCCGCAACGAGCGCAACCCUCAUCUUCAGUUGCCAUCAGGUCAAGCUGGGCACUCUGAAGAAACUGCCGGUGACAAGCCGGAGGAAGGUGGGGAUGACGUCAAGUCCUCAUGGCCUUUAUGGGCUGGGCCACACACGUGCUACAAUGGCGGUGACAAU
rnacentral:rRNA from 1 species